ACAUAGGCGCAGGUGUCCUCGUUGAAUAAGGGAUAAUAAACCAACUCACCACGUCCUGCCACGGUGGGCCAGGAAAAUUUGCUAGGGCCCUUCUGCGUCAUGUUUUUGAGGAAAGUGAGCUGAAGGGGCGCUCGUUGUUUGGGGCAAAAGGCAGCCAUGGCCAGAAGGAGGGCCUUGAUCCGGUGCGCCUGAACGCUGUACUAAGGUAUACAUGCAGCAAACAUCCGGGGGUCAACCUAUCCUAUGUUAAAAACAGCUUGGCAUCAUUCCUGGCCAGAGAUAUCAAUGGGUGAUACCGGACCAGGCAGCUCACAUUCGAUGGCACUCUCCAUCAAGUUUGAUUUUUUUGGUUUUAGUGUGACAGCUGCUGUAUAGACUGUUGUUCGACAAAAAAAUUUUUUUCUGCUGUAAUUCGCAGAAAAGUAUUUCGUCAUGAACAGAACUAUAUUAAGGAAUAAACUUCAAGUUGAAUGAG